AAGCAUCCUUUAUAGGCUCCGUGACCAGUUGAAAGGAAAAGGAAAAACCUGAAAUGAAACCCAGGUUUCUGGCUUGGAGAACUGAGUGAUUGACAGUGACCUUAACUGCAAUUGCCAAUAGAAGAGUUUUGAGCAUGCUGAAUAAGAAACGUCAUUGACCACUGGAAACAUAAGGUCCAGCAGGCCUAGCUUUCUGAUCUUGGCGGGAGUGCAUGUACGCAUGCUCAGUUAUGUCCGACUCUGCAACCCCAUGGACCAGGCUCCUCUGUGUCCAUGGAAUUUUCCAGGCAACAAUACUGAAGUGGGUUGCCAUUUCCUCCUCCAGGGGAUCUUCCUGACCCAGAGAUCAAACUUGCGUGCCCUCCGUCUCCUGCCUUGCCAGUCGUAUUCUUACCACUGCACUGCACCACCGGGAAGUUUGGGGAAGUCACUGAAUCUUGCCAGCCUCAGUUUCCUCAUCUGCAAAUGGUGAUUAUGAUAUUCUGUAGUUGUAGGACUGCUGAGAGGAUGGCAUAUGCGGAACCCCCAUAGUCAUCGCUGUCAUAAAAGUGAUGCACAGGAAAUAUUAAAUCUUUGGCAGUAUUGCAACCUUAACAAUCAUUUUCGUUGUAAGAUUAUGCAUUUGCCAGACAUGCUCCCUGGAAGGUCAAGGCUUUCUCUGAGACCGGUGGACUCGCAACGCUGUUGAGAGCACCAGGUGGUGGUGGCGCCCCCUAGGGGACCUUUGAUCAAGGGUUCUAUCAACUUCCCAGCGCUAAGUGAACAGCGAGUUGUGUUUCCAGUAUGUUUCUCUCCAUAGCAUGAUAACCUUACUGAAAUAGUAGUCUCUAUAGACUAAACACAAACAUGAGCAU
ensembl:lncRNA